UUCAUUUGUAACAGGAUGCAAUUGGAGAAAUUGGUUAUUUUACCAAGGCUUUGACUGGAAUGGUGUGCUUUUCUGUAAGGAAUCAAACUUGACUUGUGGAACCAAUAAAGGCCACUUGGGAAAACUGGCCUCAUACCUUGUCUAUGCAGUCCCUGUACAGAGUUCCUGACCCAUGGACAUGAUGAUUCUCAGCCUGCUGAAAACGAGCUUUCCUAAUAACUCAGGACCCACCUGCCUAGGAAUAAAUCACCCUAGCCAUGAGAGACCAGACAAAAUCUGAGACCAGACACUCAUUUUCUUCUAAAAUGCUUUCUCCAAAAGAUUUUUUAAAAGAAAAGGGGGAAAAUGUGAAAGGAAAAGAAAUUUUGGGUCCCCCAAAAUCACUAAACUAAAGGGAAAAGUCAAGCUGGGAAUGGCUUAGGGCAAAACUGCCUCCCAUUCUAUGCAAAGUCAUCACUGAGCGCCAUGGUCUCCAUGAACUGAUUUUGUUUGUGCAGUGGGCAGGAAGAACCCGUGGGGCAGUUACACAUCGUGAAAGAGAAGCUCUUCCUGUAA